GACGUAGGGGGCCAGCGUUGUUCGGAAUUACUGGGUGUAAAGGGGUCGUAGGCGGUGCGGCAAGUUGGGAGUGAAAUCUCUGGGCUUAACCCAGAGGCUGCUUCCGAAACUGCUGUGCUUGAGUGUGGGAGAGGCGCGUGGAAUUGCAGGUGUAGCGGUGAAAUGCGUAGAUAUCUGCAGGAACACCCGUGGCGAAAGCGGCGCGCUGGACCACUACUGACGCUGAGGAACGAAAGCUAGGGGAGCAAACAGG
rnacentral:rRNA from 1 species